GACAACAGAAAAGAUUCGAUGAGCUCCAACUCGUGUUUCAUGAUCAGGGUGGACCAUAGCAGGGAGUAACUGAUGAAACAAAGCCUCUGGGAAUGCUUUGUUUUGGUAUGACAAGUUUGGCAUAGAAGCUAUGAUUUGAGAAGCACGGUAAACAGCAGCAAUAGUAGUUCUUGCUAUCACUUGGAUACUUGUGAUGUUCUCCAACAUUACUGCCAUCACAUCCAGAAUAGGGCCUGCAUCUCCAACCUUAUUUGAUAACUCCACAAGGCACUCAUCCACUGAUUCCUGGAAAAG
rnacentral:misc_RNA from 1 species